rnacentral:rRNA from 1 species
ACGAACGCUGGCGGCGUGCUUAACACAUGCAAGUCGAGCGGUAAGGCCCUUUCGGGGGUACGACGAGCGGCGAACGGGUGAGUAACACGUGGGUGACCUGCCCUCAGCUCUGGGAUAAGCCUGGGAAACCGGGUCUAAUACUGGAUAUGACUCCAUGACGCAUGUUGUGGGGUGGAAAGCCUUGUGCGGCUGAGGAUGGGCCCGCGGCCUAUCAGCUUGUUGGUGGGGUGAUGGCCUACCAAGGCGACGACGGGUAGCCGGCCUGAGAGGGCGACCGGCCACACUGGGACUGAGACACGGCCCAGACUCCUACGGGAGGCAGCAGUGGGGAAUCUUGCGCAAUGGGCGAAAGCCUGACGCAGCGACGCCGCGUGAGGAUGACGG